UUAGGUUGGAACUUGGGAAGUGAAUCGUUCUCCUGGAGUUUUGCCUUCUGCUACUCUCAUAGUUCGAUGGCGGAAUCAGAGAUUCCAAGUAUAACGUUCUGGUAACUUGAUUGCUUGGAAAAAGGGUGCAAUCUGUUCAUUCAGUUUUUAUGUUUAAAGAAAGGAAGCACUUAGUUUAAUAUGGAACUUUGAGGUACAAUUACUAAUCUUUUAACUAUCUUUUUUAUUAUGUUCAUUCGCAAUGCUCCUAAUCUAAUUAGUAAUCUGUUUAUGCACUAUUGUUUAGGCCUUAAUAUAUUUACUUUUAGUGUAUUUAGUCUGUGAUUUGUGUGAAUCUUUCUUGCUACCCAAAAAAUUUCCAAUUUUUAUAUUUGUUUAUUUACUUUUUCAUGAAACCAUUUUAAAAAGAUUUAGUCUGUAAAUGAUUUGCUACAUGGUACCUGAGGUCCAAUCCCUUUAUCUAUUCAUGUGAAACAAACUGUUUUUUAAAUAUGGAUUGAAGGGUGUUGAGUUCCAACUGAUUAUACCAUCAAAUAAAUGAUUUUAUGAGGUUUAGUUUAGACAGUUUAUAUUGUUUAUGCUUAUUUAUAUUGUUUGUUAUAAUGCAAAAUAAGUCAGAUGAGACUACAAGAGCUACUAGGGACGUGAAUGCGCAAAGAAACAACCCAACUAUAACAUGAACCUUUUUUAUUGGUACAUUUAUCGUUUUACCCUUUUACUAUAGGCGUUGUUUAUAUUUAGUAUGUUAAUCCCACCGUCUCACAUAUGAGUUUACAUUUGAUCUUAUUUUUAAAUGUCAAAUGGUGUUUCAGUAGUCAUUUUAAAGCCUAGAUAAAAGAUAUCCUGGUGCUUCAAUAGUCGUUUUAAAGCCUAGAUAAAAGAUAUCGUUUUUAAUAAUGAAAACUAGAAAGGCCCCAAAUUUUCGUUUCGCUUUAGGCCUCUAAGAAGGUUGAGCCGGCCUUGCACAUGGGGGUAGGUUAGUGAUUUUACCUAUUAUAUUUAAAAUACAUAUUAUUUUACCAAUCAUUCACAUCCACAGAACCAAAUCUUAUCCCCUUUCUUUAUCUCCUCUCCCAUGUUUCUCUCUCUCUAGAAAACAGUCCACCACCCUUGGUGGUGGAGCCACAGCUGAAGCGCCAACCACCACCACCACCCCAUCCUUCGACACCCACCCACCACCACCUACAACCCCACUUCUUUUGGUCCACCCUCUUUCCACCUCCCUCCUAAUCUCCCCAACCUCCAACCUGAACACCCCCUUCCAGAUUCCCAGAAUCUAAAAACACAAAACUUAUCAAAAACCCAAAACACAAAAUUAUCAAAAACCUAGGACCAAUAAACAACAGUUUCCUCCAUGAAUCGGCGGUGUUCGAUUGACAAACAUUGAAGAUUCCGAGAAGGAAAGCGAGUGCGAAAGGUUUGUUGUCCAAUCAACUUCUGGGAUUUAUAGAUCUGUGCUUCUUUAGCUGUUCGUUCGAUCGGAUUGUUGUUUUUCAGUUUUGAUCUUGAUCUACGGUUCGUUGUUUUUUAAUUAGAUGGUGCCUCUGUUGUUAUGAAAUUGUAAUUAAAUGUAAUUACAAUUUUCGUAAUUGUGGAAUUAAAUUCU
rnacentral:lncRNA from 1 species